rnacentral:rRNA from 1 species
GACGAACACUGGCGGCGUGCCUAAUACAUGCAAGUCGAACGCGUCUUGGUUAUUGAUGUUAAGUGCUUGCAUUUAACUGAUUUAACAUUGAGACGAGUGGCGAACUGGUGAGUAACACGUGGGUAACCUGCCCUUGAAGUAGGGGAUAACACUUGGAAACAGGUGCUAAUACCGUAUAACAACCAAAACCACCUGGUUUUGGUUUAAAAGAUGGCUUCGGCUAUCACUUUAGGAUGGACCCGCGGCGUAUUAGCUUGUUGGUAAGGUAACGGCCUACCAAGGCAAUGAUACGUAGCCGACCUGAGAGGGUAAUCGGCCACAUUGGGACUGAGACACGGCCCAAACUCCUACGGGAGGCAGCAGUAGGGAAUCUUCCACAAUGGACGAAAGUCUGAUGGAGCAACGCCGCGUGAGUGAUGAAGGGUUUCGGCUCGUAAAACUCUGUUGUUGGAGAAGAACAGGUGUGAGAGUAACUGU